rnacentral:rRNA from 1 species
GACGAACGCUGGCGGCGUGCUUAACACAUGCAAGUCGAACGGAAAGGCCCUGCUUUUGUGGGGUGCUCGAGUGGCGAACGGGUGAGUAACACGUGAGUAACCUGCCCUUGACUUUGGGAUAACUUCAGGAAACUGGGGCUAAUACCGGAUAGGAGCUCCUGCUGCAUGGUGGGGGUUGGAAAGUUUAGGCGGUUGGGGAUGGACUCGCGGCUGAUCAGCUUGUUGGUGGGGUAGUGGCUUACCAAGGCUUUGACGGGUAGGCGGCCGGAGAGGGUGACCGGCCACCAUGGGCCUGCGGUACGGCCCAGACUCCUACGGGAGGCAGCAGUGGGGAAUAUUGCACAAUGGGCGGAAGCCUGAUGCAGCAACGCCGCGUGCGGGAUGACGGCCUUCGGGUUGUAAACCGCUUUCGCCUGUGACGAAGCGUGAGUGACGGUAAUGGGUAAAGAAGCACCGGCUAACUACGUG